rnacentral:rRNA from 1 species
UACGUAGGGGGCUAGCGUUGUCCGGAAUUAUUGGGCGUAAAGAGCUCGUAGGCGGUUUGUCGCGUCUGCCGUGAAAGUCCGGGGCUCAACUCCGGAUCUGCGGUGGGUACGGGCAGACUAGAGUGAUGUAGGGGAGACUGGAAUUCCUGGUGUAGCGGUGAAAUGCGCAGAUAUCAGGAGGAACACCGAUGGCGAAGGCAGGUCUCUGGGCAUUAACUGACGCUGAGGAGCGAAAGCAUGGGGAGCGAACAGG